ensembl:lncRNA
AUGAGUAAAUUCUCAGCUCAAAGUCUUGCCUGUAGGGCUUCGCCUAUUUCUCUCCAAAAGAAGCACCUUCACCACCCAGCCCUGGUCCAGGACUCUCGAAGCCACCACUGCGGCUCAUGUCAUCAGUUUCUCUUAACUCUACUCCAUCCUUCACCACUUUUUUUUGCUAAAAAUUCUCCUCUGAUUCCCUGUUACCUUCAGAAGAAUGCCGAGAUUCUGUCUAGUCUGGGACCAACAUCCCCCCAGCGCCACCACCACUUGGCUUCAGUCCUGCUGCACUUCCCAGCUAGGUCGGCAGUCUCACCACCCACAACUGCAUCAGACACUUUUCGUCCCCACGUGCACUGUGCCCUCCGCGUUGUGGCCCCCCAACAUAUUCCUGGGACCUCAGAAUUCCACCUUCUUUGGAAUAACAAUCUUUGGAGAUGUAAUGAAGAUAAGGAUCUUAAGAGCUUCCUGGAUGAGAGUGGCUCCAAACCCACAGGUGGGUGUCCUGUGAGAGAGAGAAGACACAGAGGCAAACAGAAGGAGAACUUGUGAAGAUGGAGACAGCGAUUAAUUAGAAGCCAAGGAUUCUGGAAGCCAUCAGAAGCCAGGAGAGAGACAUAGGGUGGAUUUUCCCUGAGAGCCUCCUGAAGGCACCUGCUAUGCCAGCACCCUAAUCUCAGAUUUCUGGCCUCCAGAACUGUGAAAGAAUACCUUUCUUUGUUAUUAUCAUUAUUAUUUAUGGCCACACCUGCUGCAAAUGGAAGUUCCCAGGCUAGGCAUUGAAGUGGAGCUGCAGCUUCUAGCCACAGCUAUGCAGGAGCUGAGCCGUGUCUGUGACCUAUACCAUAGCUCAUGGCAAUGCCAGAUCCUUAACCCACUGGGCCAGGCCAGGGAUCAAAGCUGAGUCCUCAUAGAUACUAGUUGGGUUGGUUACCGCUAAGCCACAAUGGGAGCUCCCUCAAAAGUUUUAAUUCCUGGCAGAGGAGCAAGAGGAAGUUGGUAUAUUUUCUUGGUUUGUACCCAUGUUCUCCCAUGGGCCAGUUAGGGCACAGCAUUUCCCAGCCACCUGUCAAGUCCCAACUCUUGUGCAGGAAAUGUAUUUUUUUCAUUUUCAGUUAUUCGGUUCAUUUUCAGUUCAAAUAGAAUGUUCAACUGGUAUUUGCUGAGCACCUACUAUGUGCCUGGGACUAGCUGAUAUAUCUUCUGGUCUGCUGCAGGCCAUCUCUGGGAUUAGCUAGAAGGGAGAAGGAACAGAAAGGGACGUAAACUCCUACAAAUAUUGUGCUAUGUAUGUGCCAGAAAUGCUGUAAGAACAGUAAUUAAAGGGCUUUUGCAUUUGAACUCUGUCAGUUGACGUUCUUCAGCUGUAAGCAUCAGAAAUUUAAUUCUUUUUUGUUAAUUCAAUAAUAUUUAUGGUUGCAAAGCCAACAUACUGAUUUGAAAAAAACCAAAGGUAUUCAGACCAAUGAAAUUAUUUAUAGAGUCCAACACAACACAUUUGUAAGAAUUACUAUUUCGAACCCCCCUAUCUAUUUCUAACUUACUAAAGAGGACAGUUAUACUCUCAUAAGUUCCAUUAGUAAUAAAUGUAACAUGAUAAGAAACUUAAAUUCUUUA